GACGAACCGUACGAACGUUAUUCGGAAUCACUGGGCUUAAAGGGUGCGUAGGCGGCGCGACAAGUUGGGUGUGAAAUCCCCCGGCUCAACUGGGGAACUGCACAGGAAACUAGCGGGCUUGAGUUCGGGAGAGGGAAGCGGAAUUCCGGGUGUAGCGGUGAAAUGCGUAGAUAUCCGGAGGAACACCGGUGGCGAAGGCGGCUUCCUGGACCGACACUGACGCUGAGGCGCGAAAGCUAGGGGAGCAAACGGG
rnacentral:rRNA from 1 species